rnacentral:lncRNA from 1 species
GAAGAUCUGAAAAAUUCCACCAGAAAACUUCUAGAACUAAUAAAUGAAUUCAUCAAAGUAUCAGGAUAUAAAAUCAACACUCAUAAAUCAAACACAUUCCAAUAUAUCAGUGAUGAAACUAUGAAAGAGAAAUGAGGAAAACUACCCCUAUUCACCAUAACCUUAAAAAAAAAAUACUUGGGAAUCAAUCUACCAAAAGAGGUGAAAGAUCUCGACAAUGAAAACUAAAGAACACUAAAGAAAGAAACUGAAGAAGAAGACCUUAGAAGAUGGAAAGAUCUCCCAUGUUCUUGGAUAGGCAGAAUUAAUAUUGUCAAAAUGGCCAUUCUACAAAAAGCAUUUUACAGAUUUAAUGCAAUUCCUAUUAAAAUUCCAAUGACAUUCUGCAUAAAAAUAGAAAAAGCAGUCAUGAAAUUCAUUUGGAAAAAUAAGAGGCCCAGACUAGCCAAUACAAUCUUCAGCAAGAAAAGUAAAGCACGAACAUCACAAUACCAGACCUUAAAUUAUACUACAGAGCUUUAAUAACAAAAGUGGCAUAGUAUUGGCACCAAAACAGACAUGAAGACCAAUGAUACAAAAUAGAAAACACAGAGACAAACUCACAUGAAUACAGUUAACUCAUACUAGAAAAAGGUGCCAUAAACAUACAGUGGAGAAAAGAGCCUCUUCAACAAAUGGUGCUGAGAAAACUGGAAAUCUAUAUGCAGCAAAAUGAAAUUAAACCCCUAUUUCUCACCCUACACAAAACUCAACUCAAAGUGUAUCUAAGACCGAGCAUUAGACCAGAGACCCUGAGCCUAACAAAAGAAAAUGUAGGCCCAAAUUUAUAUUAUGUCAGCUUAGGAAUCAAAUUCCUCAACAAGACUCCAAAAGCACAAGAAGUAAAAUCAAGAAUCAAUACAUUGGAUAGUAUCAAACUAAAAACCAUCUUCACAGCAAAGGAAACAAUCAAGAGCAUGAAGAGAGGGCCUACAGAACGAGAGGAAAUCUUUGCCACCCACACCUCAGAUAGAGCAUUAAUCUCCAGGAUUUAUAGAGAACUCAAAUAACUUAACACACACCCACACACACACACAAAAAAUAAACAAAAAUAAACAAAAAACCAAAUAACCCAAUCAAUAAAUGGGCAAGACUGAACAGGCACUUCGUAGUAACAUCCGUCAACAAAUAUAUGAAAAAAUGUUCAACAUCUCUAGCAACUAGAGAAAUGCAAAUCAAAACUACACUGAGAUUUCAUCUCACUCCA